AGACUGUCAUCCAUGUAUGAAUAGGAACAGUUGGUGGCGGUAUGUGCCUAAGGUGCAGAAUACGCCAAAAAAUCCAAGGAAGAAGAAGAAGAGGAAAGAGAGAUCUGUUUGGCGAAGUGGAAGCAUGGUUUUCUCCUCAAGUAUUCAAUACAUUACAAUACAGUCCAGAUUGAGAAAUAUGUGUUUCAAGCUCAAUCAUAAAGCAGUGUGUUACCGCCAGCCCCACUGCACAUGGGAGAACAUGGACCCACACCGCACAGCGCACCAAUUGAAGAGGAAGCCGAGCAACGAGCUCCAAACCACCUCAGGCCAACCCCCUUUCACCACCUUUCCAUGA
rnacentral:lncRNA from 1 species